rnacentral:rRNA from 1 species
UACGUAGGGGGCAAGCGUUGUCCGGAUUUAUUGGGCGUAAAGAGCGUGUAGGCGGCCAUACAGGUCAGCUGUGAAAACUCGAGGCUCAACCUCGAGACGUCGGUUGAAACCGUAUGGCUAGAGUCCGGAAGAGGAGAGUGGAAUUCCCGGUGUAGCGGUGAAAUGCGCAGAUAUCGGGAAGAACACCCGUGGCGAAGGCGGCUCUCUGGGACGGUACUGACGCUGAGACGCGAAAGCCAGGGGAGCAAACGGG